AAAGAAUUAGUUAAUUCAAUAACAUUAAAUUGUCAAUUUAAAAUAAUUAUUCAAUAAUAUUCUUUU
rnacentral:tRNA from 1 species